CAGAAAACCUAAGCAUUAAUGAAUUUACCAGCCGAUGGUCGACUUUUGAACCUUUUCUCGGUCGGUGAUUGAGGAUGUUCCUGUUCCAGAUGGUGGUGGAGACGGUGAGAGAGAGAGACGGAGAGGAGUUCUCCCACCAUGACCUCACUCCUGCACUGGACAUGGGCACUACAGCGGUGUUCUCUAAAGACGAGCUGCAGAAGUUUCUUCAGAAGAUGAGGGAGUCGUCUCUGCUGUUAUUGGAUAAAGGACUCGAUCCUCUCGGCUACGAGCUCCAGUCCUAGAUUAAAAUACCCUGAUGCCUAUUUGUUUAGUUUUUUCUUCUAUUUUGUACUUGAAUAAAAGUGAGUUUCAUGAGAUCUGUAAAA